AUUCUGAGGCACUCAAAACACUCUCUGCCCCGGGUCUGUUUUCUGUUUAAAUUUCAGACUCUAUAACUCUACACCCUGCUGGCUCCACAUCUAUCCAUGUCUUCAAUGUCCCCACCCUUCAGAUGCGCCUUGCAUGGGACUCACCUGGCUCUUGUGGAGAAGCCACGAUCCGGGAGACCGAGCUGAGCAAGCCGCUGCACAUUGGUGUGGUGAGGAUGCUGUGCCUAGCUCUCUUGCAUCGGUUCCUUAGGAUGGACACUUCCUGCCCCCAAGCCUGAGGCCCCUUUGGCUGGUAACCUGCAGGGACACACUGCCAGGGCUUAGGAAUGAAGCAGAGGUCACACUGUCUGUGACAAAGGGCGUACCAGCUUUUGGAACUGUUCACGUGGACAGACACCUGGAUAAAAGUAUAACCAACAAGGCCCCGCUGUGGGAUAGGACUGUUAUCCUCAGGCCUGUAACCAUCCAUCCGGACCUCAGUUCUCUGGAUCCUCUGCUUGGGAGGUCUCCUUCCCCCAAAAGGGACAUCGUGGCCCAGCUUGGCAGGGAGCUGGGAAGCCAAUGCUGACGAGAGGUGACCCCACCUUGAACUCUGCUGGCAAGGAAGUGCGGUCCAUAAGGAGAACAGGAGUCUGGGCUUCUUCACUCUCUUGGCCGGACCGUCAAUACUUUGAGGCAGACCCUGAACUUCUUGGGCUCAAAGAACAGGGCUGAAGACCCCAGGCUGUGGGGCAGGCAGCCACUCCUCAGCUGGAAUGGGAAGUAUAUUAUAUUGCUGACUCCCACCCCCAGGGCAGGGCACCACAGCUGCACUAACUCAAGGCCAACCCAGCACCCUGUACGCAGGGGUCACCUGCAUCCUCACAUCCAGUGGACAGUGCUGAGAAAACUGGGCCUUGGGUAAACAACCAAGACCAUUGUUCUGAACCCAGAAGCAAUAGAGACUUGACACUAGUUGUCCACUUACUUCAUGUUUUAAAAAGACCCCUGGCCACUCACUCAUUUGGUACCAAACUGAUUUUAAAAAUAUGUUUUACUCAGAACUUUUCCCACCUAAGCAAAGAAACCUGUGGUUGGCAGCUGUAAGUGGCUGAGCAGGACCCAUGCCAGUGUCCCCAGAGCGUAACAAAGGUUGGGUGUUCUGCCACAGAUCACACGCUGGUAUGACCACGUAUCAUGGGACCUGUGUCCGGCUCGUGUAGAUGUGCCUGCUGUUUCUCACAGCUGCAUAAUAUUUGUUUGUAUAGAUAUACCAUAGUUGGACAACUAUCCCUUGGACUAUUUCAGUUGGACAACUGAAAAUGCAACUUGUUCCUCUCUCCCUCCUUUUCGUUGGAACUUUAUGUACAUACAUGCAAGUUUUCCAUUUUCUAAGAGGGACUUUAAAAUCAGACAUAUAAACGUCUGUGCUUGAGAAGGAAAAUGAAGCUGACCCGAGGUCACGUGUAAUCCUCCCUCAUCCCCAAUUUUAGCAGAAAAAUUAUGCGUGUUUGGGUUUGCCUCCAUAAGUCAAAUUCCUAAUGCAUAGCUCUCCUUCAUGCAGCAGGGAGUUCGGUCUCGUUUAUGAAUCAUCCAAAUCCCACAGGUGGAAAUGCUUCACUGAACAGAUUAAAACGAUGCAAGAUAACUAAUGUGCGUUGGCCGGGAUGGGCGCUCCCACAAGGCAGGGGGAAUGUGGG
ensembl:lncRNA